CAAAAACAUCGCCUCCUGCAACACAACCAAGUAUAGGAGGUCCAGCCUGCCCAGUGACUACAAGUUCAACGGCCGCGGUAUUUUGACCGUGCAAAGGUAGCGCAAUCACUUGUCUCUUAAAUGGAGACCUGUAUGAAUGGCUAAACGAGGGCUUAACUGUCUCCCCCUUUCAGUCAGUGAAAUUGAUCUAUCCGUGCAGAAGCGGGUAUAAUAAUACAAGACGAGAAGACCCUUUGGAGCUUAAGGUACAAGAAUCAGCCACGUCAAGCAACUUAAUAAAGAGCAAAAACUUUGUGGACAAUGAUUUUUUACCUUCGGUUGGGGCGACCACGGAGGAAAAAAGAGCCUCCAGGUGGACUGGGAAAACAUCCUAAAGCUAAGAGAGACAUCUCUAGGCCGCAGAACAUCUGACCAAUCAUGAUCCGGCUGACAAAGCCGAUCAACGAACCAAGUUACCCUAGGGAUAACAGCGCAAUCCUCUCCCAGAGUCCAUAUCGACGAGGGGGUUUACGACCUCGAU
rnacentral:rRNA from 1 species